AACGAACGCUGGCGGCAGGCUUAACACAUGCAAGUCGAACGCCCUAGCAAUAGGGAGUGGCGCACGGGUGAGUAACGCGUGGGAAUGUACCGUUUAGUGGGGGAUACCCAAGGGAAACUUUGGCUAAUACCGCAUACGCCCUUCGGGGGAAAGAUUUAUCGCUAAACGAUCAGCCCGCGGGAGAUUAGGUAGUUGGUGGGGUAACGGCCUACCAAGCCGACGAUCUCUAGCUGGUCUGAGAGGAUGAUCAGCCACACUGGAACUGAGAAACGGUCCAGACUCCUACGGGAGGCAGCAGUGGGGAAUAUUGGACAAUGGGGGCAACCCUGAUCCAGCCAUGCCGCGUGAGUGAUGAAGGCCUUAGGGUUGUAAAGCUCGUUUACCGAUGAAGAUAAUGACGGUAGUCGGAGAAAAAGCCCCGGCUAACUUCGUGCCAGCCGCCGCAGUAA
rnacentral:rRNA from 1 species